GCAGGAUUAGCCCAGGUCACCCCAGUUCCUGAGCUGAGACUUUGUCUACAGUCCAGGAAGGGAGGAGAGGAUAACCCUCCCUGUGCAGCAGGGAGAGGAUCUCAGAUAAACCCAGGCUGGUUCUCCCCUCCAUCCCUCCCUUCCUCACCGCUGUGCUCAGGAUGACUGUCCUGGUCUCCACUGGACGAGGAUGCAGAAUAAGAGUGUUGUUACCACAUGAGCCACCAGGAUUGGAGAGACCACGUCCUUUGACUGGGGGCAACACCAGGAAAAUCCGGGAGCAGUUUCAGCAGCAGAAACAAGCACUAGGACCCGAGGUGAAGCCCCUGAAUACAGGAAGACAAACUGUUUAAACAAACAAACAAACAAACUUGUUAAGAGAAAAGAGACACUCACCAAAACAGACAUCUACUGAUUGGGAGAAAAUUUUGCACACAGUACAACAGAUAAGGGACUGGUUACAAAGAUCUACAAAGAGCACACAGAACGCAACAAAAACAAAGUAAACAAUCCAGUCAAAAAAUGGGCAGAAGAACUUAAGAGACACUUCUCCAAAGAGGAAAUGCAAACAGCCAAUAGGUAUAUGAAAAAAUAUUCAACAUCACUUAUAAUCAGGGAAAUGCAAAAUCAAACCACAAUGAGAUACCAUCUUACACUAGUAAGAAUGGUACAUAAUUAAAAAAUGAAAACAGGGGCCUCCCUGGUGGCGCAGGCAGUUGAGUGCCGCCGUGUAGCUGUCCGCAGCCUCUGCUGCGUGGGUUCGAUCCCGGCCGGCCAGCGAGAAUACCACAUGGCGAAGUAGACCUCUCCUGUCUCGCCUGCUGCUCCCCUCAGCAGUGUAUUUCGUCAGUCUGCCUGUUCUGUUCCCCACUCUGUCUCUGGUGAAUCUUCUCACCCUCCUGCAUAUCUGGACUG